UCAACGGUACAAUUAAUCAAAAAACCCCUUACCCUUAACCCUUAACCCUUACCCUUACCCUUACCCUUGUUAGUUUUCACACUUGCACACAACCAAAUCUAUAUUAUUCUACAGUUCGCAACUCUUCUCUCACUGAAUCAUCAUCGUCAUCAUUAUCAUCAUCACUCUAUAUUAUAAUAUAGUCAUCCUCAACUCUCUCUGAAAGUGCAAUAUGGCUUACAUGUGUGCAGACAGUGGCAACCUUAUGGCUAUUGCUCAACAAGUUAUCAAGCAGAAGCAGCAACAAGAGCAACAGCAGAACCACCAUCAUCAACAACAUCAACAACAUCAUCAACAACAACAACAACACAUGGGUGGUAUUAUCAACCCUCUAUCUCUCCAUCCAUGGAACAAUACUCCACCUUUGGGUUUUCCCCUCCCUCCAAACGAAUUUCCGGAUCCUUUUCAAGUCGGGUCGGGUCCCGACAACCCGGACCCUGCUUUUCAGUUCCCUCCCCUCGACCCUCAUUCCGCCGCCUUUAGAUUCUCCGAUUUCGACUCCGACGAGUGGAUGGACACCUUAAUGGUCGCUGCCGACUCGACGGAACCACCCGCGUGGCAGAGCAAUGUCGAUUUUGGCCUUUACGCUUCCAACCCAUUUGCGACCCGACUCUCCCCGCCGUCGGAUCUCAACCGGGUCAUCUUCUCUUCCGAAUCUCAAUCCACUAUCCCUCUUCAACCCACUCAACUACCCACCCCGCCACCGCUAUCUCCUCCACGCAAAGACCCUUUUCCGACGAAGGCCACAGUGCACAGAAACGACACCGUCGUCGUCGUCGGUGGCUCAUCUGAAACAGAGUCUGCGCACCCGCUUCUGAAAGCGUUAACGGAGUGUGCUCUUCUCGCCGAGACUGAACCGGAUCAGGCCUCAGAAUCUCUUACCCAUUUGAGGAAAUCAGUGUCCCAGCAUGGAAACCCUACACAGAGAGUUGCCUUCUACUUCUCCGAAGCUCUAACCCGCAAAAUAUCCAUGGAGAAAGAUAAAAAGAAGAACUUGGCAAUGGUGGAAGCUACUACUACUACUACUAUUACCACUACUUCGGAGGAGUUGACGCUAUGUUAUAAAGCUUUGAACGAUGCUUGCCCUUAUUCAAAGUUUGCACAUUUAACUGCGAAUCAAGCCAUCUUGGAAGCCACGGAAGGAGCCACUAAGAUUCACAUCGUUGAUUUUGGGAUCGUGCAAGGGAUUCAAUGGGCAGCACUGUUGCAAGCAUUUGCAACUCGUUCAUCUGGGAAGCCUGAGAGUGUAAGGAUUUCUGGGAUACCAGCUAUGGCUCUUGGAACUUCUCCUGGAACUUCUCUUUCAGCCACUGGGAAUCGUCUCUCUGAGUUUGCAAAGCUUCUUGAGUUGAAUUUCGAGUUUAGACCUAUUUUGACCCCUAUUCAUGAGCUCAAUGAGGGUAGCUUUUGUAUUCAACCAAACGAGGCCUUGGCUGUUAACUUUAUGCUUCAGUUGUAUAAUCUUUUGGAUGAGAAUUCAACUGCUGUGGAGACUGCACUUCGGUUAGCUAAGUCUUUGAACCCCAAGAUUGUAACCCUUGGUGAGCAUGAAGCAAGCUUGACCUGUGUUGGGUUUUUCCAACGGUUCAAGACUGCAUUGAAGUAUUUCUCAGCUUUGUUUGAGUCUCUGGAACCAAACUUGGAAUCUGACUCGCCGGAAAGGUUCCAAGUGGAGAGUCUUCUGCUCGGCCGGCGUAUCGCCGCCGUGAUUGGGUCCGAGUUGCCGGGGAGUGUAAGAGAAAGGAUGGAGGACAAAGAGCAGUGGAGGGUUCUGAUGGAAAGAUCUGGUUUUGAAUCAGUGAGUUUCAGCCAUUAUGCAAUUAGUCAAGCUAAGAUGCUUUUGUGGAAUUACAGCUAUAGUUCUCUGUAUUCUCUCAUUGAAUCUGAACCGGGUUUUUUGUCUCUGGCGUGGAAAGAUGUCCCUCUCUUGACUGUUUCUUCGUGGCGUUAAUGGAUUAUUGGCCUCAAAACUGGAAAUGGGUUUCCACCUGGUCCUUUUUUCUCUGGUGUGGAACAACUAAUUGUCUAUAUGUUCCUUUGAUGAUCAUGCUAGGCACUUCGAUUGAUCUUUCCUUGGUGAAGUUAUGCAGAUUUGAUGUGUUAUUGGUUUUUGGAGCUCUCUUCCCUCUAUCUCUAUGGGCCAUACCAAUAGCUUUGUUGUCUGUCUCUUUCGUGCUGCAAUCAAGUUCCUUUUCUUCCUGGCACAGCAGAGAUAGGGAAGAUGAAUCAGCCUCUUAAGUCUUGGUAAAACGAUUGGCGAGAACGUGGCAGGAAAGACUAGCACUGCUGUUUCUGAUCUUGAGUGAUUGUGACAAUUCAUGGUUGUGACUUGUGAAUAGUACGUUCUCUUAUUGAGCUUGAUCUUGGAAAGGGUCCCAUUAAUGUAGACUACACUUUGUGAGGCUGGCUGGGUUUGCGUCCUAUUCACCAAUUUAUAUGGUAGUUCAUAACUCAUCCAGGACCAUUCCUCAUCUAGAACGGCAUUACCCCACUUGACAGAAAUCAAACACAAGUGCUUCUAUAAUAGAAGACUGAACAAUUGUUACCUCUAAGUGCUUCAUUCAUAUUUUUUUUAAUUGCUAAUUUGGAUAACUUUUAUACGAAAUUUGUGUUAAUGAACAGCUGACAUUAGUUUGAAAUGGGACCAUACAUUGGGAUUAAUUGUAUUGUGUUACGUAACUUUUGAGGGGAAGAUGCAGGAAAUGAGUAAAUUCAGUAAGUUUCAGGUUUGUGUUGCUAUGUCAAUGUUACUCCUGGUUUCCAUGUCACAGAAAUAUCAUGAGCAAUCAAAUCAAAACCAUGGGUGUGCCUGCCAUGUAUAUGAAGGCAAACCAUGAA